AUGGCGGCCAACGUCAUGCUGGCGAUCCACGAGAAGAAGGCCACGGCCGUCGACCUCUAUCGCCCGCUCCGCCAGUACAUCGCCUCCGCCUACUCGGAGCGCGACGCGGCCACCGCCGACGACGACCUCUGCGCCGUGCGCGACCUCCGCGCCGCGGCCGUCGAGAGCCCCUCCCUCCCGGACUCCUCCUCCCUCGAGCAGCGCCGCGCAGCGCUCCUGGCCUACGCCCGCGCGCUCGCCCUCGUCGAGCCCCGCUUCCCCAUCUCCCCCGACCGCGCCCACGUCCACUCCCUCUCCUUCACCUGGCACGACGCCUUCAAGACCAACAAGAAGGUCAGCCUGCCCUCCGUCCACCUCGAGAAGGCCGCCGUGCUCUUCAACCUCGGCGCCGUCUACUCGCAGAUCGCGCUCGCCGCCGAUCGCACCACCGACGUCGGGAUCAGGACCGCCUGCGGCGCCUUCCAGAGCGCUGCGGGGGCCUUUGCCUGGCUCAGGGAGAGUGGGGUCGCUGCCAAGGCCGUCGCCGCGGGGGCCACCACCGUCGAUGUGACGCCCGACUGCGCGGCGAUGCUGGAGAAACUCAUGCUGGCACAGGCGCAGGAGUGCUUCUUCGAGAAGGUCAUAGCUGGUGGGAAGCCGCCCGCACUAUGCUCCAAGGUGGCGCGCCAGGUGGGCGUAUUCUAUGAAGAAGCUUAUGCAGCUCUCUGUGCACCUCCUCUUAGUCAGCACUUUGACAGGACAUGGGUUUCUCAUGUCCAGCUCAAGGCAGCUCAAUUCUAUGCUGAUGCUUGCUAUAGGUUUUCAUUGGAUCUUCAUCAGCAAGAAGAAAUUGCUCAGGAAAUUGCACGCCUAAAGAUUGGAAUGAACGCCUUGGCUGAUGCCAAGAAGGCAGCUAAGGGAGUUGCUGCGCCACUUCUGGAUUCUGUUAAUAAGCUGGAGAGUAACAUGAAAACCAACUUGGAUAGGGCCAUGAAGGAGAACAAUAGUGUUUAUCUGAUGCGGGUUCCAGAGGCGGGUACUUUGGGAGCUCUGCCUGCAGCUUCCCUUGUAAAAUCUACUUCUUUGGCUGAAGUUCUAGAUGCUAGCAAUGAGAGGCUUUUUUCAUCACUUGUGCCUGAUGGCAGCAUGAAGGCCCUUUCUAAGUACACAGAGAUGGUAGAUGAUAUCAUUCGGACCCAAGCAGAGAAACUUCAGCAAUCUAGUGAGAUCACUAGAGUUAGGCUGAAGGAAAUGGACUUGCCUGAUUCUAUUCUAUCAUUGGAAGGUAAUGUCAGCAUACCUGCAGAUCUGAAGGAAGAUGUUGAGGCUGUGCAGAUAAGCGGUGGCCCUGCUGGCUUGGAAGCUGAGUUGCAGCAGCUGAGAGAUUUGAAUAGGGUCAAUCAGGAGUUGCUUGUUCAGACUGAAGAGAUGCUGCAGAAGGAGGCAAGUGAAGAUGCUCAAUUCCGGACGCAAUUCGGAAGUCGUUGGACUAGGCCUCAAUCAAGCACCCUAACAAAGAACAUUCAAGACCGAUUGAAUCUUUUUGCUGGUAAUCUUAAAAAAGCGGCUGCGAGUGAUGCUUUGAUCGAACGAGAUGUGAAGGAGAGCUACCCCUUGAUGUCUAUUCUUGACAGAAGACCGAUAGAGUCUGCACUACCAAGUAUUUCAAGGCCUAUCAUGUCCUUGGAUGGGAAUGAAGAUGCUAUCGUUGGAGCCCUUAAACAAAGCUUGAGGCAACUGGAAUCUCUUGGUGCACAAAGGGCAGGCCUUGAAGACCAUCUGAAGGAAAUGAAGAGAAAGGAUGAUAUACUCCCUAAGUUGAUGGCUGGUGUUGGAGCACAUGAUGAUCUUUUUAGGAAGGAGAUUGCGAAGUACGAUCCUAUCUGUGCUGAAAUUGCUGAUAACAUUGUAGCACAGGAACAAUUAUUGUUGCAAAUACAGGAACAAAAUGCGCAAUUUGCUGCUGUAUUCAAUCUAGAUGAUUACAAAGUUGCUCGUGAGAGAUGUUACAAGCAAAUUGCUGCAGCUGUUGCUAAAUACCAGGCAAUUAAGAAGAACAUGAAUGACGGCCUAAAUUUUUACGUGUCUUUACAGGAUGCAACCGGCAAGAUACAACAGCAGUGCAGUGACUUCAUAAUGACGCGAAACAUCCAAUGCCGUGAAAUGAUCGAGGACGUGCAAAGAAAGUUAGCAGGUUUCAACUUGUCAUCUUCCAGCCACAACACUAACACGCCGAGGAGCUCUUCUGUUCCACCGGAUCAGCACAGUCCAUCACCACCGCCACAUGCUCCUCAUGCUCAGUCCUCGUACGGUGCUCCACCUGGGGGCGACCCGAGGCCAGUUUACUCCCAACCAGAGUCAAGACCUCCGUACUCGCAGCCAUACCCCACCUAUGGUGCGCCACCGCAGCAACCUCCAUAUGGCGCAGCACACCCUGGUCAGUACCAGCAGCACCCGCAGCAGCAUCAGCCACCUCCUGGCCAUGACUAUGGCCAACCGGCGUAUCCCGGGUGGCGCGGGCCGUACUACAAUGGGCAGCAGCCACAGCCGCAGCAACCAGGGCCGUAUCCACAAGCACCGUACAGUGCCCCAGGCGCGUACCCUCCUCAUCACCAGAGCAACUACUACAGGCCUCAAUGA
rnacentral:rRNA from 1 species